AUGUGUUUAUUGAUGUUGGGAUUUUUUUUUAAUGCUCAUCAAUUUUUUUACUUUUUCCAAAUAUUCAACUGAAAUACAAGUAGAGGGGAAAGCAUUUGUUUGUUUAUAUUAAUAAUCAGUUGAUUCAUUUAAAAUAUGUAGGCAUUCCCAUUGCAGCUCAGCAGGUUAAGAACCUGACAUAGUAUCCAUUUGGGUUUGAUCCCCAGCCUUGCUCAGUGGGUUAAGGAUCUGACAUUGUUGCAAGCUACAGCAUACACUGCAGGUGUGGCUUAGAUCCAGUGUGGCUGUGGCUGUGGCAUAGGCCAGUGGCUGCUGCUUUGAUUCAGUACCUAACCCCCGAACUUCCAUAAGCCCCAGGUGCAGCCUUAGCAGAAGAAAAAGAAAAAAAAGAGGUAAAAAUAUGUAGAUGAGAAAAGGAAACUUCAAAGAAAACUAAAAUGCACAUUAAGGCAGCACAAGUACAAACAGGCGGGAACGAAAUGAUAAUAAAAGCAACAAGAAUUAGGGUCACCCUGAUGGUUUCAUCUCAUUUUCAGUCUUGGAGGAAGUCAGUGGCUGGUUAUUGUUUUUGCUGUUUUUCUUCACGCUGGUAAUUCUCAAUGAGGUGGAAAUCUCAUUACUAGCCAGUUAGGAAAAAAAGGCGUGGGGGACACAGACUCAGGCUCCUGAUUUAAACACUGGCGUGACGCUGGAUUUGACACUUGUGUUGUUAACUUGCCUUAUACUACGAGUGCCCACAACACAAAUAAAACACACCGAUACGUAUGUAUGUAAACCAUCAAGAAGCACAAUGUCAUUGCUUGGUAUUUAUGUGACCUUGUACAGCAUUCACCCAGGGGCACAGUGUCCUUGGGGAACAGCAACGUUACGUCUUCUAUUUUAUUUGACUCAAUGCUGUCAGAAGGGAACACCAGCCAUGAAGAGCCAAGUGGCGAUCUGAUUCCACACGAACUUGCUUCUCCUUGCAACUCAUCACUGCAAUUGCAAAAACAAGACCACAAAACAACACACACAUCCAGUAGCAGAGCAAAACUGAUCAAAUAGAGAACUGUCACUCACAUUUCAAAAUCUUUGCAGAAUUCCUUUGCUAAAUAUAGGCGGGUGAGCCUGGCUUGAAGGAAGGGCCGGUACCCUCAGACAGGACAGAUGGGGAAUGCAGAGCCUCCAACCCCAGUGAAAGGGACUUUGGCAACAUCUAAUAGAGUGAUAUAUCUAUUAGUUCUCUGAUUCAGCAAGCUCACUUCGAGGACUCUAUUCCAAAGAUCUAUUGAACAUUGUAUGCAAUGACCUAACGUGCCGUUAUUUAUUAUAAGAUCAUUGAAUGCCAACAUAUUUAGACAUUACAAAAUGGUCUUCCAUGGGGGGAGAGGGGGUAACACAAUGAAUACAUGGUGCCUGUGCCUCGUAAUGAAAUAACAGGAUGUGUAAAAAGAAGAGAGGAAAAUUAUCAACCACUGCAAAGGUGAAAGCUCCUGGAUGUUUUGUACCGUGAAAAAAGUUUAGUGGAGACUGUGUUCUAUUUUAUGCUACACGUGGCGUUAGAACACGUUAGGCAUGUUAUGAACUGGAACAUCUUUGCAAAAAAAAACACUAGAAAGAUAAACCAAAAGCCAGAAUGGUGGCCUAUAAGUGAAAGGCAGUACGUGUGGAAGGUAGACUUCUUGAAAUAGGUCUUUUGUAUGUAUUUACAACCUUGUAAACACAUAGUGUUACAUAUGUUUUACAUAUUCAAAAAAUUAACUUAGAAAUAUUAAACAGCAAUUUAUACAAUUAAAAAAUGAACUGAAAUGAACGAAGCUAGGUGCCCAUCUAUUGGUAGAAAAAAUAAUUUGGGGGUGUGAGUUUAUAAAAUAUAUAAUGUUAUUAUAAUAGAACUGCCUUGGCAGAAUGUAUAUUAGGGACACAUAAAACUAUAAACAAGUGUUCAAUUUCAUUCCAUGGUUUAAUUCCUCAAAAACACUGGCAUUAGGGAACUAUUUUAUAUAAUUCUAGAAUAAUAUCAGGUAUAACAGUACAGAAUACUGUUAACGUUAUUAGAACCAAGAUUUUCAGUGUCAGUGAAGAGAAACAGAUAUAAAAUAAAUAAUUUAGUCAAAAAUCAUGUGAUGCUAUAUCUGAACUGCAAAUAGUGUACAUACAUGUCUUUACCAUCAUGUAUGUAUGUCACAGUUUAGUCCACGGCAAAAACCUGGAAGCAGUGACCGUCAUGGUAAAUUGCAUUGUUUGUUCCAGCCAUUCUCUGUCCUUCUCCUGGAUGCACUGGCCUUUCAGCUGCCCCUUCCCAUAUGGGGGGAGUAAGCUUUCCAGGGUGAGAAGGUUCACAGCUUGGAGAAAUGGCCCUGUGAGGUGCAAGGUAUUCAGCUCAAAGGGAGGAGGCCGAGUCAGUAGAAGGCCCAACAGUUCAGGGGCCUAAUUUAAAUGGGAAGGGUAUUCUUUUUUCUUUUUCUUUUUUGCCUUUUCUAGGGCUGCUCCCACGGCAUAUGGAGGUUCCCAGGCUAGAGGUCGAAUCAGAGCUGUAGCCACUGGCCUACACCACAGCCACAGCAACGCAGGAUCUGAGCCACAUCUGCAACCUACCCCACAGCUCACAGCAACGCCAGAUCCUUAACCCACUGAGCAAGGCCAGGAAUCGAACCCACAACCUCAUGGUUCCUAGUCGGAUUCAUUAACCACUGAGCCACGACAGGAACUCCAAAAGACAGUUUUCAAUGUUGCCAGGGGAAAAACAUGAUUUUUUUUCCAAUUAUCAUCUGAGGAGGGAGUAGGUCACAAGGGUGGGUUUGUUCCCAGGGUGUGGGGACGAUGGCGCCAUCAUUAACCCUUGAUGAGGGGUCUCCUAGUGGAGCUUUAAUGGUCACAGUUGCCAAGCUCUCAUCAAAAACACUGUCUCUCUUCUGAAUUCUUCUUCUCUCCCAUUUCUUUACUCACAGGGCUAAUUCUCUGCUAAGACCAUGGGUAAAUUUAGGUUGUUCUAAAUUAUGUACUAGGUAUUAUGCGCUGGGCUCUAGGAAUAUCAUAUUUGAUGGAUCAAAGACAACUGAGUGAAUCGGGAGUUAAAUUUUAAAUUGCUGCCAUGGCCUCUUUGUUCCAUGGAAUGGACUGGGCUUUCCAGUCGUUGGGCAGGUGGCCUGGGUUCCACGUGCUCUGCUGGGGCUCCGGAGCACGAGGGAUUCCUGACCGUCAUGAAGGUACUGAAGGAACAGCCUCCAUCCUGGUGGAAGGCAACUGGGGAUGCAUAUGGUGAAGAAGAAACUAAAAUUCACUUAGGCACUUGGCAUGAGAGCCCUUUGAUGAGCAGGGAGGAGAAAAAGAACAAAUAAAUCAGGGAAGAUGAUCUUGCACAUACUGUACUUUCACUUCUUGGCUAGCAAAAAACACAUAAAUUUUAUCAGAGGUUUAGUUAUGUUCCUAAAGAAAUAAAUCCCCGAAAUAAGUGAACCCUGAGCCCGUUUUCGUCAAUAGAACAUGGCUCAAAAUGUGUUUUUUAUUGUUGUUGUUUGUGUGUUGGCCUCACUCCCUGGGCCAGAGACUGAAACCACAACCCAGCAGUGACCUGAGCCACAGCAGUGACGAUGCAGGAUCCUUAACCCACUGCACCACCAGGGAACUCUAUCAAAAUGCGUUUGAACCAAUUUUAACAUAUAAACUUUCAAGAAAUGAAUACAUUUUAACUGCGUACUAAACACAUCUAAUUUAUCUUUUAAAUCACCUGUCAUAUAUUUGCACACAACACAUUAAAAUCCUAGGACACACAUUUGGUGGGCCAAGUUUAGGAAGUUUCCCUCUACGGCACUGUCUUUUUUCUCAGGUGGACUCUGCAUCCCACCAGACCCCAGCCUGACACCUCCACACACAUUGUAUUUUUAAAUUUCACAAUUUCCAAUAUAAAAAUGGAUCACAGCAAAGCCUUGAAGGACCAGUCUUACUCGGUGAUUGUUUUUGAAUAUCUUAAAGCACUUGAUAUUUAAUGAGGGUAAGAUUUUAAGGUCCUAGAUGGAAUACAGACUCUAACUCCUCUUACUGCUGAGGGUUCUCUUUCCAGAUCUGCUGUAUGCUUUGAGACAGAGUUCUGAUGCAGUAGGUGUUAUGAUGUCAUAGCUACCAAAACAUACCCUCCCGCCCAACCCAGCUUGGCAAACAGAAGGGGGCCCAGAGUAACCCCUAAUAUCUUCAAAUUCCAAAAUCUUAGGGCACACUUCUGGUUGAUUUAGGCAACAUGAACCAAUCAACAGUCACAAUCUGAUUGGCUAAUGAGGCAGAAUCCUAUAAACCCAUGACUAAUCCAACAGAAAUCCCAUAAGUAAGACUGUGAGAAGGACCAUUAUCCAGAAGAAGGAUGAAGAGGGCAGGAUAUCCAUACGGAAGAGCAUCUAGGUAGAGGAAACACCCCAGUGGCAAAGUCAUGGAAUAGGCUCUUUGAGAAAAUAAGUUGAGUGGUUUACAAACUGAAUGCUUUGAAGACAGGCCCAUCUUCAUAGACAGCAGUGACGUUUGUUCAGAUGGUUUAAUUCCAGAUUAACAAAGUCAGAAUACAUUCGUUCUCCAUCUUCCUAGAAAGCCUAAAUUUUCCACAGCUAUUGAGAAUUUGGUUCAGGUAAAUUUUCUCUUUUCAAAGUUCAUAAAGAUAAGUGCAAAGUUGGGGAAUUCUAAGUCAUGCCAUUAUGCAUUAUUAAUAACUUCCCUCACAUUAGUAUCUUAGAUUAGCUGAACUGUCAAGGAAAAACUUGUACGGAAUUUAUACAGCAAGAAUUUGGGUACCUAUUUUCCUGAUGCAGUGCCUAGGGAAAAUAGGAAAUAAAGUUUAUAGUCCAAU
rnacentral:lncRNA from 1 species